CUCGUAGGUGGUUUGUCGCGUUGUUCGUGAAAACUCACAGCUUAACUGUGGGCGUGCGGGCGAUACGGGCAGACUGGAGUACUGCAGGGGAGACUGGAAUUCCUGGUGUAGCGGUGGAAUGCGCAGAUAUCAGGAGGAACACCGGUGGCGAAGGCGGGUCUCUGGGCAGUAACUGACGCUGAGGAGCGAAAGCGUGGGAGCGAACA
rnacentral:rRNA from 1 species